UACGAAGGGGGGCUAGCGUUUGUUCGGAAUUACUGGGCGUAAAGCGUGCGCAGGCGGCUGCUCAAGUCAGGGGGUGAAAGCCCAGAGCUCAACUCUGGAAUUGCCUUUGAGACUGAGUGGCUUGAGUACGGGAGAGGUGAGUGGAAUUCCCAGUGUAGAGGUGAAAUUUCGUAGAUAUUCGCAAGAACACCAGUGGCGAAGGCGCUUACU
rnacentral:rRNA from 1 species